GAUUUUCCAUCAUUGAGAGAAUACAAUGAUUACUUGGAGGAAGUGGAGGAUAUGAUAUUUAACUUGAUUGAAGGAAUAGAUGUACAAGCUAUUGA